rnacentral:tRNA from 1 species
GAGGGUGUAGCUCAGUGGUAGAGCGCAUGCUUAGCAUGCAUGAGGUCCUGGGUUCAAUCCUCAGUACCACCA